UGGAGGCUUGAGAAAGUUUUGCAGUGAUUUUAGUACUGACAAAACUGGUUAUGUCCUCCAAGAGUAAACCACAAAUACAGUCUGUUCAGUCUGACUUCUUUUUUCAGAUUGUAAGCUGUGUCUAUGAACAGUUU
rfam:Danio rerio chromosome 17, GRCz11 reference primary assembly.